rnacentral:rRNA from 1 species
AUGCAUGUCUAAGCUCAAGCCGAAUAUGGUGAAGCUGCGAAUGGCUCAUUACAACAGCCUUUGUUUAUUUGAUCUUGAAAUCCUACUUGGAUAACUGUGGUAAUUCUAGAGCUAAUACACGCAACGAAAUUCGGAACGUUCGUUCCGGAUGCAUUUAUUAGUACAAGACCAACCGGCCUUUGGCCGUCCAUUGGUGAAUCUGAAUAACUGAGCCGAUCGUACGGCCUUGUGCCGGCGACGUAUCUUUCAAGUGUCUGCCCUAUCAACUUUCGAUGGUAGUUUAUAUGACUACCAUGGUUAUAACGGGUAACGGAGAAUAAGGGUUCGACUCCGGAGAAGCAGCCUGAGAAACGGCUACUACAUCCAAGGAAGGCAGCAGGCGCGCAAAUUACCCAAUCUCAACUCAAGGAGGUAGUGACGAGAAAUAACGAGGUGGUGUCUCUUUGAGGCCCACUAUCGGAAUGAGAACAAUUUAAACUCUUUAACGAGUAUCAAGCAGUGGGCAAGUCUGGUGCCAGCAGCCGCGGUAAUUCCAGCACUGCUAGUGUAUACCACGAGUACUGCGGUUAAAAAGCUCGUAGUUGGAUCUGCGGCCAUGGGUUCGGGUCUGCCCGAUGGGUUUGUACUCGUUUCCCAGGCCUUAUUUGCCGGUUUUCGACCGAUACCCUUUAACAGGUGUCGGGAGAGGCUGGCGCUUUUACUUUGAAAAAAUUGGAGUGCUCAGAACAGGCGAUUGCCUGAACAGUUGUGCAUGGAAUAAUGGAAUAGGAUCUCGGUCUUAUUCUGUUGGUUUUAGAGACAGAGAUAAUGAUUAAGAGGAACAAGCGGGGGCAUUCGUAUUGCGACGUUAGAGGUGAAAUUCUUGGAUCGUCGCAAGACGGACAACUGCGAAAGCAUUUGCCAAGAAUG